AGAAAAUUUCACGCAAAAUAGGCGAGAAUUAUUGUAAAUAACUUCGGUGUAGAUUGACUUAGGAAGGUAAUUUUUUCAAUACUAGAAUUAUUUAUUUUUUAGAGCAUGAUGUGCUAAGAAAAUCUAUCCCUCCAUUGUCAAAAAUUGGCAAAAAGUUCAGAAAAUUAAAUAAUUGUUCGAAAAAAAUUGAUGACAAUUAACAAUAAUUAAUAUCUUUUAAGAUUUUUCAAAAACCGUGUCAAAAUUUGGAAUCGGAGCGAAGAUAUGAAAAAUUGAAAAUCAAGAACUCGUGAAAUGUUUUAACGCCACAGAGCUUUAGCAGACGCUAACGCUGUUUUUUCUGUCUGCAGAGAUUCUGAAUGAAAAAAAUGUUUUAACUUAAAUGAUUAAAAAUCUGCAAACUUUACUAGUACGAAUCAUUCAAUCUUGGCUUCAACACUCUUAACAAAAAUUAAUUUCAGGUAAACGUUUUUCUCAAUUUAAUUCUUCAGGCAUAAAAUGCCAAAAGCUGAUAAAUUGUCACAUGCUUAAAUUUAUUGCUUAUAUUCUUUCAAAAUAACACCCCAAACUUUAUACGAAAAUAACCAGGAAAAUCGCCAAUUACUUAGAAUAAUUUGUAAAUUAAGUAAUGGAAUAAUUAAUAAAUAAUUUGGCCCUUUUUAACCCCCAGCAAUAAAGUUGAAAUUUUCUUUUUAAUCCAAGUACCCAAGUAAAAUAUUUUUUUUAGGUAAAGUAAUUGGUAUAUUUUGUAUUGACUUUCCUUCAUUAAUAUUCCUCUGCUGCCGCAACACUUGAAUUAAUUGAUUUUCACCAGAGAAGAGUAAUUUUUUCGAUUUUUUUAAUGGCUCGGGGUCACUCUGGAGCGGCGCGCGCUAUUGUUCUCGUGCACAUCCUGCACUUUGCUUGCAGCCCCCAAAAGCAACAAAGAGGCUUUCAAAAGAAAAUUUAUGACCCAAACUGGGAUGCGACGGUUAGCAACACUGCACUCUCUGCUCCAGUUUUCCGUGUACUUCAAGAGUAGUUGGACGUGUGUUUUACUCCAAGAAUCCAGUGUUUUAGCAGAAAUACCCCAAUUAUGGACCUCCCACAUUGUCCAACUUGCUGUGAAGUAUUUUUACCGAAAAAAUUGAAAACGCGGGAAAGAGACCUCGGCCGAUUGCUCAGCCAAAGUCGACGACAGCGCACCCUGCACCCACACAACCCUCGCACCGACGAAUGAACGAACUAUGAUGAACAAGAAAUGAGCUGCAUGUUGCAUAUAUGUUCAGAUACGGACACAGACACCUUUAAAAGCAACUUCUGCCUCGUGAUGUCGAGAUUCGUGCCUUACUCCUCAUUUAAACAUGCCAGGAACCAAGGGAAAUAUUCAGAGGUAAAUUUAAGUGCAAAUUUUCGAAUAUUUCAUUUAGAUUAAAUCAAAAUUACUACCAAUAUCAGAAUAAUUAAUAUGAACCUUUUUUCCAUGUCCAUGCUUUGGAAGCUAUGUUGAGGGUUGAAGGACAAGGAGCCGAACGAAGAAGAAAUAGCAAAAAUCCUAGACACUAUCUCCAGUAUGAAGUGGACCGAAGUAGCUGCUGGAAGACAGGAGCAAGAAAAGUUCUGGUUGAAGUGUUCGAGAUACAAGUGCACACUCUGGUCAAGCCCUUUAGAAGAUCAUCAAGAUAUCUCUCUAUUCGAAAUCGCAAUCAAAACCUCACAUUUUGUCACUUAAAGAUGAAUUAAAGAAAUUUAAAAUGUAAUCUGCAUUUUGUGUAAUUUCGCAACUUUCAAUGUUUUUAAGUUAUCAACUUAGCUCUGGAAUUUUUUAAAAGUUAUAGAAAUGAGCCUGAAUGAUUUGUACCAAUAUUCUAUUUGUAUAAUGUACUUUCCAAAAGCUGUUUUAAAUUUUUCAUUAUAUUUGUUUUCGUGUGCACAUAUGUUGCUGGUUUUCGCUGCUAAAGUUUUUACAGUGCUUCAUAUAAUAUCGAAAAUUAAAUGUAUGGAUAGAUUUUUGCAAUAUUUAAAUAUUUUAAAGUGAAAACCGCAAUAUUUUUGCACUUAAACAAAUAUAUAUGAAUAAUCUUGAACAGCAAAAAGUAAAGUGCAUUACACAAAUAGAAGGUCCAUAACGAUUGAAAGGCAGUUGAACAACAAGACAAUCAAACGACAACCCUAAACUGUCCCUAUAAUGUCACUAUACUGUCCAUAUACUGUCCAUAGGGACAACAACCCAUGGACGAGCUUGUCUCCCAGAAGUCAGACAGUUGAUCCAUGGGCCAUCCAUGCCAAAUGACCUCAGUUUAUCGCAAAGUGACGCCGAAAAUUAAUCCCAAGGAUAACUUUGGCGAUUGUACCGGGAUG